CUGUGCUAGGUGGGGAGUUAGCGGUGCCCUGUAUCUGCAAUCCGCUAUAGCAGAACUGAACGCCUCUUUAGGAUUUGCGUGUGGAAGGCCGCGCUCCGUAAGGGAUGUUGAUAGCAAGGUCUUAUGCAACGAGCUGCCGUGAACCGUGUCAGGAUAGGGAUAUAGCAGCACUAAGCGGAUUUGUUCGUGUGCCAUGAGGAAGCUUUGAGGGAGUUACCUGCGGUUUUAACGCUUCGGCGCGCCUUUUCGACAGAGGAUGCACAG
rnacentral:SRP_RNA from 1 species